rnacentral:rRNA from 1 species
AAACAUGUCUCUGUGGUAAUUUUUAUAGAGUCUAUCCUGCCCACUGACGUUGAGUUAAAGGGCCGCGGUAUAGUGACCGUGCGAAGGUAGCAUAAUGAUUUGUUCUUUAAUUGGGGACUGGUAUGAAUGGUUGAACGAAAGGCAGACUGUCUCUUAUGCAUAUAUUGAAUUUAACAUUUGAGUGAAAAGGCUCAAAUAGCUCAGGGGGACGAUAAGACCCUAUAAAUCUUUAUUCUAUUAGUGAAUAACAUUGAAAAUUAUAAUUUAUAAUUCUAUGUUAUUUAACUUUGGUAUUUGGUUGGGGCGACAGGAGUAUAAAUAAAUAACUGCUCUAAAUGUUUAGUUAGUUGUAGCUAAAUUGUUAAUAAGUGAUCCUUUAUUAUGGAUUAUAGAUUAAGUUACUUUAGGGAUAACAGCGUAAUCUCGCCUGAGAGUUCAUAUCGAAGGCGGGGCUUGCGACCUCGAUGUUGAAUUAAAGGUCCUCUACGGUGCAGGAGCUGUGGUAGGAGGUCUGUUCGACCUUUAAAUCUUUACGUGAUCUGAGUU